rnacentral:lncRNA from 1 species
GUUUGGGGAGAUCAAAAGUUCCCUAUGAUGGCCAUUGGUGUUCUAAAUUUUUUUUGGUUAAAUCAGUUCAUUUAGUUAAAAAUUCACCUGAAGAGGAACCAUAGUUUUGUUUUGUUUUGUUUUGUUUUUGAGGAAGAUUAGCCCUGAGCUAACUACUGCCAAUCCUCCUCUUUUUUCUGAGGAAGACUGGCCCUGAGCUAACAUCCAUGCCCAUCUUCCUCUACUUUAUACGUGGGAUGCCCACCACAGCAUGGCUUUUGCCAAGCGGUGCCAUGUCCACACCUGGGAUCCGAACCAGCGAACCCCAGGCUGCCAAGAAGCAGAACAUGCAAACUUAACCGCUGCGCCACCAGGCUGACCCAUAGAGACCAUAGUUUUUAAACACAAAACUAGCUGGGGUCCCUGAAGGAGGGCUGCCCUUAAACAUUUAGAUGACUGGUAUCCCAUUUCUCACAUUUCCCCAAGGACAAAAGAAAAUUCCUAGCUAGCCCACUUCCAAAAGGAAACUUACCGAAGUUUCAGCAUGCUUCCUAAAGGAAAAUAACCAAGCACUCACCAACAACAAAGCCUUGACACCAAGGAUGAAGCCCUGAAUCAGAAAGGACAAAGCCUCUCAUGAUUCUGAAUAAAGUUGGAGAGUUCAAAAAGCAAGGAAUGCUGAGCUCAGAAUUCAAGAGGAGACUUACCAAACUGAAGGUGCAAAUUUCCAAAAUAAAAAAGGAAAAAUGCCAAAUAUGAAAAUUGAGAGAAGAGAGAGAAAAGAGGUAGAAUAGGAUAAUUGACCAUAGAUAGUUAAUAUGUAGGCAUCAAAGGAUACUCUUAAAAAUUCAGUUAAGGUAAUCCAUAAUAUCAACAGGUCAGAGAAGAAAAAUCACAUGAUCAUAUCAAUAGAUGUAGAAAAAGCAUUUGACAAAAUCCAACACCCAUUCAUAAUAAAAACUCUUAGCAAACUAGGAAUAGAGGGGAACUUUCUCAAGUCGAUAAAGAUUAUUUACAAAAAAACCCUACAGCUAAUAUCGUACUUAAUAGUGAAAAUCUUGAAGCUUUCCCAUUAAGAAGAUACAAGGCAAGGAUGUCCCUUCCCACCACUACUUUUCAACAUCAUACGGAAAUCCUUGCUAAUGCAGUAAGGCGAGGAAAGGAAAUAAAAAGUAUACAGAAGGAAGGAAGGAAGACAUAAAACUCUGGUUGCAGAUGACAUGACCAUCUAUGUAGGAAAAAAAAUUUACAAAAAACCCCUCCUGGACUAAUAAGCAAUUAAAGCAAGGUUGAGGAUACA